rnacentral:tRNA from 1 species
CGAAAUCGGUAGACGCUACGMCCUUAAAAUCCGUCGACUUUAAAAAUCGUGAGGGUUCAAGUCCCUCUAUCCCCA